rnacentral:rRNA from 1 species
CCCUUAGAUGUUCUGGGCCGCACGCGCGCUACACUGAUGCAUUCAACGAGCCUAUCCUUGACCGACAGGUCCGGGUAAUCUUUGAAUCUGCAUCGUGACGGGGAUAGAUUAUUGCAAUUAUUAAUCUUCAACGAGGAAUGCCUAGUAGGCGCAAGUCAUCAGCUUGCGUCGAUUACGUCCCUGCCCUUUGUACACACCGCCCGUCGCUCCUACCGAUUGGGUGUGCUGGUGAAAUGUUCGGAUCGGCCGUUUGUCGCGGUUUCCGCGACAUGUGGCUGAGAAGUUCAUUAAACCCUCCCACCUAGAGGAAGGAGAAGUCGUAACA